rnacentral:ncRNA from 1 species
UCCCCCGCUUUUCCUCCCUGAGCGGGUACUUCGCGCCUGCGGGCCCGAGGUUUACCCAACCCGGCCAUGUGCCGGGUUUUUUUUGU